rnacentral:miRNA from 1 species
GUGGCAUCAUGAAGAUUCACA